rnacentral:rRNA from 1 species
AGCGAACGCUGGCGGCAGGCUUAACACAUGCCAGUCGAGCGGGCAUCCUUGUGGUGUCAGCGGCAGACGGGUGAGUAACGCGUGGGAACGUGCCCUUCGGUUCGGAAUAACUCAGGGAAACUUGAGCUAAUACCGGAUACGUUCGAGAGCAGAAAGGUUUAUCUGCCGAAGGAUCGGCCCGCGUCUGAUUAGCUAGUUGGUGAGGUUACGGCUCACCAAGGCGACGAUCAGUAGCUGGUCUGAGAGGAUGAUCAGCCACACUGGGAAUGAGACACGGCCCAGACUCCUACGGGAGGCAGCAGUGGGGAACAUUGGACAAUGGGGGCAACCCUGAUCCAGCCAUGCCGCGUGAGUGAUGACGGCCUUAGGGUUGUAAAGCUCUUUUCUCCGGGACGAUAAUGACGGUACCGGAGGAAUAAGCCCCGGCUAACUUCGUG